GAUGAACGCUAGCGGCAGGCUUAAUACAUGCAAGUCGAGGGGCAGCAGGACGGUAGCAAUACCGUUGCUGGCGACCGGCAAACGGGUGCGGAACACGUACACAACCUUCCUUUAAGUGGGGAAUAGGCCGGGGAAACCCGGGUUAAUACCCCGUAACAUAUAGAAGUGGCAUCACUUUUAUAUUAUAGCUCCGGCGCUUAAAGAUGGGUGUGCGGCUGAUUAGAUAGUUGGCGGGGUAACGGCCCACCAAGUCGACGAUCAGUAACUGGUGUGAGAGCACGACCAGUCACACGGGCACUGAGACACGGGCCCGACUCCUACGGGAGGCAGCAGUAAGGAAUAUUGGUCAAUGGACGCAAGUCUGAACCAGCCAUGCCGCGUGGAGGAUGAAGGUCCUCUGGAUUGUAAACUUCUUUUAUUUGGGAAGAAAUCUAUCUUUUCUUGGAUAGUUGACGGUACCAGAUGAAUAAGCACCGGCUAACUCCGUGC
rnacentral:rRNA from 1 species